CAGCCGUAAACGAUGCGCGUUAGGUGUAUCGGUGACCACGAGUCACCGAGGUGCCGAAGGGAAACCGUGAAACGUGCCGCCUGGGAAGUACGGUCGCAAGGCUGAAACUUAAAGGAAUUGGCGGGGGAGCACAACAACGGGUGGAGCUUGCGGUUUAAUUGGACUCAACGCCGGAAAACUCACCGGGGGCGACAGCAAUAUGUAGGUCAAGCUAAAGACUUUACCAGAAUCGCUGAGAGGUGGUGCAUGGCGUCAGUGACU
rnacentral:rRNA from 1 species